UAGGGAAUAUUGGACAAUGGGGGCAACCCUGAUCCAGCCAUGCCGCGUGAGUGAAGAAGGCCCUCGGGUUGUAAAGCUCUUUUGUCCGGAAAGAAAAGCAUUCGGUGAAUACCCGGAUGUUCUGACGGUACCGGAAGAAUAAGCACCGGCUAACUUCGUGCAAGCAGCCGCGGUAAUACGAAGGGUGCAAGCGUUACUCGGAAUUACUGGGCGUAAAGCGUGCGUAGGUGGUUGUUUAAGUCUGAUGUGAAAGCCCUGGGCUCAACCUGGGAAUGGCAUUGGAAACUGGGCAGCUAGAGUGCGGUCGAGGGUAGUGGAAUUCCCGGUGUAGCAGUGAAAUGCGUAGAGAUCGGGAGGAACAUCUGUGGCGAAGGCGACUGCCUGGACCAGCACUGACACUGAGGCACGAAAGCGUGGGGAGCAAACA
rnacentral:rRNA from 1 species